rnacentral:rRNA from 1 species
UACGUAGGGUGCAAGCGUUAAUCGGAAUUACUGGGCGUAAAGCGUGCGUAGACGGUUGCGUAAGUCAGAUGUGAAAGCCCCGGGCUCAACCUGGGAAUUGCAUUUGAGACUGCAUAGCUAGGGUGCGGAAGAGGGAAGCGGAAUUUCCGGUGUAGCGGUGAAAUGCGUAGAUAUCGGAAGGAACAUCAGUGGCGAAAGCGGCUUCCUGGUCCAGCACCGACGUUCAGGCACGAAAGCGUGGGGAGCAAACAGGG